rnacentral:rRNA from 1 species
GGCUAACGCUGGCGGCGCGCCUAACACAUGCAAGUCGAACGAACCCUUCGGGGUUAGUGGCAGACGGGUGAGUAACGCGUGGAUAAUGUGCCUCUUGGCUGGGGAUACCGUUCCGAAAGGAACGUUAAUACCGAAUGUGCUUGUUUGGCGGCAUCGUCGAGCAAGUAAACUGUUAGGGUGAAGAGAGCAGUCCGCGUUCUAUCAGCUAGUUGGUGAGGUAACGGCUCACCAAGGCUACGACGGAUAACUGGUCUGAGAGGAUGAUCAGUCACACUGGAACUGAGACACGGUCCAGACUCCUACGGGAGGCAGCAGUGAGGAAUCUUGCACAAUGGGCGAAAGCCUGAUGCAGCGACGCCGCGUGAGGGAUGAAGGCCUUCGGGUUGUAAACCUCUGUCAGUAGGGAAGAAGAAUGACGGUACCUACUGAGGAAGCUUCGGCUAACUACGUG